rnacentral:rRNA from 1 species
UACGAAGGGGGCUAGCGUUGCUCGGAAUCACUGGGCGUAAAGCGCACGUAGGCGGACUCUUAAGUCGGUGGUAAAAUCCUGGAGCUCAACUCCAGAACUGCCUUCGAUACUGAGAGUCUCGAGUCCGGGAGAGGUGAGUGGAACUGCGAGUGUAGAGGUGAAAUUCGUAGAUAUUCGCAAGAACACCAGUGGCGAAGGCGGCUCACUGGCCCGGUACUGACGCUGAGGUGCGAAAGCGUGGGGAGCAAACAGG